CUAGCGUUGCUCGGAAUCACUGGGCGUAAAGCGCUCGUAGGCGGAUUGUUAAGUCGGGGGUGAAAUCCUGGAGCUCAACUCCAGAACUGCCUUCGAUACUGGCAAUCUUGAGUCCGGGAGAGGUGAGUGGAACUCCGAGUGUAGAGGUGAAAUUCGUAGAUAUUCGGAAGAACACCAGUGGCGAAGGCGGCUCACUGGCCCGGUACUGACGCUGAGGUGCGAAAGCGUGGGGAGCAAACAGG
rnacentral:rRNA from 1 species